UUUCAACAACGGAUCUCUUGGUUCUGGCAUCGAUGAAGAACGCAGCGAAAUGCGAUAAGNNNNNNCAGUAGUAUGGCGGGCAUGCCUGUUCGAGAGUCAUUUCAACCCUCAAGCCCCCGGGC
rnacentral:rRNA from 1 species